AAGUCGUAACAAGGUAUCUGUAGGUGAACCUGCAGAUGGAUCAUCAAUGAUUCUUUAACCUGGGAAGCAGGAGGCUUGCCUCUCUUUCCGCAAGGUGUGGCUCCGCACCUUUUAAAUCUAAACUUGGGCUACCAUUUUACACACGGUUGCAUCUGCUGGGCUGUCUUCGGGCGCUCAGCAAUACACACACACACACGCUGAUCUAUAGGAUUUGUAUGGUUUUAUGAUAACGACUGGUAAUGCGGUCGUAUAACAUUAAUAAACAACUUUUGGCAACGGAUCUCUUGGUUCUCC
rnacentral:misc_RNA from 1 species